rnacentral:rRNA from 1 species
AUCAGGUAGGGAUACCCGCUGAACUUAAGCAUAUCAAUAAGCGGAGGAAAAGAAACCAACAGGGAUUGCCUCAGUAACGGCGAGUGAAGCGGCAAAAGCUCAAAUUUGAAAUCUGGCUCCUUCGGGGCCCGAGUUGUAAUUUGCAGAGGAUGCUUCGGGCGUGGCCGCGGUCUAAGUCCCCUGGAACGGGGCGUCGCAGAGGGUGAGAAUCCCGUCUUCGGCCGGCCGGCUUCGCCCGUGUGAAGCUCCUUCGACGAGUCGAGUUGUUUGGGAAUGCAGCUCUAAAUGGGUGGUAAAUUUCAUCUAAAGCUAAAUAUUGGUCGGAGACCGAUAGCGCACAAGUAGAGUGAUCGAAAGAUGAAAAGCACUUUGAAAAGAGAGUUAAACAGCAUGUGAAAUUGUUGAAAGGGAAGCGCUUGCGACCAGAGUCGGCCGCGGGGGUUCAGCGGGCAUUCGUUGCCCGUGCACUCCCCCGCGGGCGGGCCAGCGUCGGUUUUGACGGCCGGUCAAAGGCCCCCGGAAUGUGUCGCCUCUCGGGGCGUCUUAUAGCCGGGGGUGCAAUGCGGCCAGUCGGGACCGAGGAACGCGCUUCGGCACGGACGCUGGCUUAAUGGUCGUAAGCGACC